GAUCAAGCUACAAAGGGCGCAUGGUGGAUGCCUUGGCACCAGGAGCCGAUGAAGGACGUGGUAAGCUGCGAAAAGCUGCGGGUAGCCGCAAACAGGCUGUGAUCCGCAGAUGUCCGAAUGGGGGAACCCGCAUGGCUAACGCCAUGCAUCCUUAGCUGAAUCCAUAGGCUAAGGAGGGCACACCCGGGGAACUGAAACAUCUAAGUACCCGGAGGAAAAGAAAGAAUAAUCGAUUCCCUAAGUAGCGGCGAGCGAAAGGGGAGGAGCCCAAACCAGAGGAAACUCUGGGGUUGCGGACAGGUCAAGAAAGCGAAGGAGUUCUUAGCCGAAUAGGUCUGGAAAGGCCAGCCACAGAAGGUAAAAGCCCUGUAGGCGAAAAGGACUUUGAGCGAGACCUGAUCCAGAGUACCACGGGACACGAGGAACCCUGUGGGAAGCAGGGAGGACCACCUCCCAAGGCUAAAUACUACCUGGUGACCGAUAGCGCAUAGUACCGUGAGGGAAAGGUGAAAAGAACCCCGGGAGGGGAGUGAAAUAGAACCUGAAACCGUGUGCCUACAAGCAGUCGGAGGGCGUUAAGGCCUGACGGCGUGCUUUUUGUAGAACGAGCCAGCGAGUUACGGUAUGUAGCGAGGUUAAGCACUUAAGGUGCGAAGCCGUAGGGAAACCGAGUCUGAAGAGGGCGUUAAGUUGCAUGCCGUAGACCCGAAACCGGGUGACCUAUCCAUGGACAGGGUGAAGGUGAGGUAAAACUCACUGGAGGCCCGAACCACGUUGGUGUUGAAAAACCAUGGGAUGAGCUGUGGAUAGCGGAGAAAUUCCAAUCGAACUCGGAGAUAGCUGGUUCUCCCCGAAAUAGCUUUAGGGCUAGCCUCGGGUUAGAGACAUGGAGGUAGAGCACUGAAUGGGCUAGGGGCCGUCUAGGUUACCGAACCUUAUCAAACUCCGAAUGCCAUAGUCUUGAUGCCCGGGAGUCAGACUUAGAGUGAUAAGAUCCUAAGUCAAAAGGGAAACAGCCCAGACCAUCAGCUAAGGUCCCAAAGUGCAUGUUAAGUGGUAAAGGAUGUGGGACUUCUAAGACAACCAGGAUGUUGGCUUAGAAGCAGCCAUUCAUUUAAAGAGUGCGUAAUAGCUCACUGGUCGAGAGGUCCUGCGCCGAAGAUGUCCGGGGCUCAAACAUGCCACCGAAGCUAUGGAUUUGGUACCGUUGCUAAUGCUUAUAUGGUAGAGAAGACAGAAAAGAGAGGACAUCUUUAUGCUGCUACGCAGCGAAGCGAAGGAGCAGCAUUAGAUACAACAAGCUAAAACAUGCCAUGUAGGCGAUAGCAACGGUACCAAAUGGUAGGGGAGCUUUCUUAGUGGGUUGAAGUCAGACCGUGAGGACUGGUGGACUGCUAAGAAGUGAGAAUGCUGGCAUAAGUAGCGAGAAAUAGGUGAGAAUCCUAUUCGCCGAAAACCUAAGGUUUCCUCAGGAAGGCUCGUCCGCUGAGGGUUAGUCGGGACCUAAGCCGAGGCCGAAAGGCGUAGGUGAUGGACAAUCGGUUGAUAUUCCGAUACCACCAGCAGCCGUUUGAGAGAUGGGGGGACGCAGGAGGAUAGGCUGAGCACACUGCUGGAUAUGUGUGUCCAAAGCACAAGGUAUGCCUCUUAGGCAAAUCCGGGAGGAUAAGCUGAGUGCUGAUGGGGAGCCGUAAGGCGAAGCAGCCGAUUUCACACUGCCGAGAAAAGCCUCUAUCGAGGAUGCUGGUGCCCGUACCGCAAACCGACACAGGUAGGUGAGGAGAGAAUCCUAAGGCGAGCGGGAGAACCCUUGUUAAGGAACUCGGCAAAUUGACCCCGUAACUUCGGGAGAAGGGGUGCCUACCGAAAGGUAGGCCGCAGAGAAUAG
rnacentral:ncRNA from 1 species